UGUCCGUGAUCUAUCCCUACAUACAUAAUGUAAUUAAAUUUAUUUAUACAAUAAAUAUCAAUUGUUAAAAUAAUUAUUAUCGAAUAUUUUUAUGAUGUAUUUGAUUAAAUUUAGUAGUACAAAUACCUAGAUUAUUUUAAAGAAUGAAACAACAAUAAACAAUAUUAACAUUAAUGUGUCAGAACAUAAGCCCGAUGUUAUGGCAGC
rnacentral:lncRNA from 1 species